GUUCAGGGGAGAGAACGCAAGGCAAGCAUCGCGCCAGAUGCUGUGAGUUUAUCCUGAGAGCCCAGCCGCACGCUGACAGGGCUCCAGGCCCUCUCCUACAGGAAGACUUCCUGGAUUAAUCUGCUAAUCUUCAGCUCAUCCACCUGUUUAAUAGGCAAAACCUACAGAACUAGUCCACACUGAGUGGACCUCUGGGGCUCCCAGCUGCCGAUUGACCUGAACCCCAGAGUGAACUUGUGUUGCUUUGUGGCUUCAGGAAACCUUGUAACAUCUCUGUGCUGUUUUUUCAUUUGUGCUCAAUCAUUCCUGAGGCCUCCUCCUCCUGCUGCAAUUUGACAAGCCUUGACCAAAUCAUUAAUUCCCAGUUAAUGGGAUAAAAAUGAGUUUGAAUCUGGGAUUCUGGUCAUUAACCCCAUGUCACCAUCUGCUCCAGCAGUUUGAUGGCAGGGCUAGGUGAAUUCUAAUCACCCAACACUUGUUAAACUGCUGAUUCCUGCUUCCCCACCUCUGCUGACUCAGCAUCUCUGGGGCGGGGCCUGCAAAGGCUCUCUUCCUUGACGGGGUUAUUGAGGGCAGCUCUAGGAACCCACCCAGGACCAGACCUGAUGAGGAGUUCCUCCUAUGCAUCAGUCUACUUCUGUCCCUCUUUCCCCUGCGAAGGAAAAAUAGAAGAAAGAAGCCAUCUCUGUUUGCUUUCUCUCUGUCACUCAAUCUUUGGAGCCAACUGCUUCACAAAUAAAGAGAAGUGCACAGAGAGUCCCUGAAGCCCACCAUCAACAGACAGGCUUUCAACAAAACUGUAUCAGCACCGCCUUGGCCAUAGCUACACUCUACAGAAAAUGGGAGAGAGGAACAGCGCUAGAGAAGUUUGUCCUUGCCUGGUUCCCGGGUGGAACUUCCUCUCCCCCUUGUGUUCUACGCGUGUGGUUACAGCUGCCUCUGAUCUUUGGUGACCAGCGGUUGGCAGUGGUGGUAUUUCAGCAUACCUUGAUCAUCGUGCUUAUUACACAGCCUCCUUUACCAUCAACCCCACCUACCUUCUUCUAGCCAUGCCCCCCACCUCCUCCCGUCUCUAUCCAUCUCUUCGCUCUUUUAAAAAAUACAUAAGUGUGUACAGAUCACAGUGACUUCAUUUGUGUGCCCAUUCACAUUUGAUGACUUCCAUAACCCCCAUACAAGUAGUUGUGUAUUCGUUUUAAUUCACUUUAUUUAUUUCCUAGCUCUUUCAUAAAAUAAAAUGAAAUAUAAGUAAUGAAAUGGGAAUAAAAAAGAGAAAAAUAGAAUUGAGGGGGUAAAGGAGAAAUGCAUCUAUGUUUGUGAUCACGUUCAUCUUUCUCCAUGCAUCAAUAUGCAUACUAUUAUGAAUUCAUUGCACGUAUUUUAACAUGUAGGCACUACAUGGGGAUGUGGUGUCUACAUACCACCUCUACAGUGGUAGGCACUGCAAAGGGACAUACAAAAGGUAAAAAGCAUAGUCUCUCAUAGGACUUUUCAUCUCAUGGAUGUGGCACUCAUAAUGUCUUUUAUCUGUGUCCCACUUGAUGUGAAACUCUUUAGUAGGCAUGAUCCUAUUUGAUUUCCAUAAGCAGAAGAGGGGUCACUGUUUCCAUGUUAUGAGAGAGGAAACUGAGGUUCAGAGAGUGAAAGGACCCUGAUGAGAUAAUGGAACUGGGGCUCAAAUCCUGGUUUCCCGACUCAACAUUUCACAUUCUUUCUACUCUGUCAUUAUUCAUUAGUCAAGUUUCUCCACAGACAACUCACUGAGCCACAACAUAUGAAGCAGCAUGGUAAUGCCACUAGACUGGUCAUGAUCAGAAGAUGUGGCCCCGGGGAAGAGAAAGCAAGAGAGCUGGAGAUAGCAGAGAAAGCACCAAGGAAGGGCUUGGCCGUGCAGCUCUAGCAGGGAGGUCCUUCCUUUCAGCCCCCAAGUGUCCCUCUGUGUCUCAUCUAAAAAGCAAAAAAAGAGGAGAACUAGAGCUUAUGGUUGAAGGCGUGAGAAUGAGGUGUCUUUUCCCUCUAUCUCUGUAAUAUACAAGUAUAAAUACUAUAUAUACAUAUGUAUAUGUGUUCCUUUUUUCUGUGUCUGAUUAUGCAUGCAAUUUAGCAAGGAUUUAUUGCCUAAUUUUGGUCUGGGCACUUUGCUAACGCAAUGGGGGAGGAUACCAAGAAAUUAGGGACUCAGCCUCAUUGUCCCCAGAGACUCCUGGGGGUGGGCAAGGCAGGGUGUCUGUGCAUACUGCUGGGGGAGCUCUGGAUUCGGGGACAUCAGGAGACAUGACAUUGAAAUGUCCUACUCAGUUCUCUGUACAGAUUGGAUUUCCAUGGAAGAAAGAAAAUCAACAUGUAUUGGGAGUCAACAUCUCAUUCAGUCCUGUGAGUUUAUUCUGCCUGUUUUUCAGACAAGGAGACUAAGGCUUCAAGACGGUAAGUAAAUUGCCCACAGUGUCACUGCUGGUGUGGGAAUGAGCUUCAGGGUCAUUGAGUCAUGCUGCUGCCCAGGUACCUUGUAAGGCCGUCAAGUGUUGUGGGUAAGGGUUUUGGUGCUGAUGUUCAGGUGAUUGUGAGUUUAAAGCCUGGGCCCACCCACACCAGCAGUGUUAUUUGAAGCAUGCUAUUGAACGUGCCUAAACUUCCGUUUGCUCAUCGGUAACAUGGGAACAGUAACAGUGCCUACCUCAUAAGACUGAUGGGAGGAUGUGAUCAGCUAAAGUGUGUAAAGUACCAAUAAGUAUCUAAUAAAGUUCAGUAACUAUGUCACUAUUAAUACCACUGUUAUAAUCACUAUUUUUGUCUAAAGGAGACCCAGGUGACAUGAAGCUAUUAUGCCCUGUGGACUUGAGAUCUUGAAUUAGGGUUUGAUUGUGAGACUACCAGACAAGCAGUGGGAUUUAAAUAUUCAUGGACCAGGGUCCAUCUAGGUCUCAUGGGACAAGGAAGGGACCCUCACAGUUGAUUACCCUGAGAUGGGAGAGGAAACUCUGCUAGAGGCAUUUACACCUUACUAAGCAUUUCUGGUGUAUCAAGCUCUCUGCUAGCUUGUGAGGAUGUAAUGUUCAUUAAGACAUGUUCCCAUAGGCUCUGGUCCAGCUUCUACCAGUUUUUAGGGGGACCACUGGUUUCUCCUAAGACAAACAUAGGAGCCAGAUGACUUCUGUAGUGCCUUGUAGACCUAGUCCAGUCCUUGGUGGUUCUAUGAACACUCACCCUGGCUCUGUCCCAUAGAAGUACCAGGAGUCUUCCCAGGGGAGAGAUUAAGAAACUCUUGCUCCUUCAUCCUCUGUGAUGGUUUGGAGCCUGAACAGCCUCCAGCCUAGGCCAAGUGUUCUUGGAGGAUGCGCUUCUUUAUCCCAGUCCCUCAUCAGUGCCUCCUAUAAGAGACCCACCUGCUUUACUGAGCAAUUGACUCCUACAUCCAUAUAUCUCUACCACUCCUCAAACCAAACUGCCAGCCACCUCUAAGGCAGCUAUUGAUUUCACUGACCAUAAUGGAGUGUGUUCUGUGUGUAGUCACAGCACUAAACAUCAGAAGGGAUUCAAAGAGGAAUCAGGCUAAUGCCUUUCAUCCAAGGAGCUGGCAGAUGGAUGAGCCAGACUGGCAUGCACACAGUCAGCACAAGGGAAUAGGCUGUGAUGGAGCUGGGUGUGCAGCGGACUGAGAGUGGAAUUAGCAUCCAGUUUCCAAUCCUAGUGCUGUAGCUGGCAUUAAGGCAUUCUAUUACGCUCUCCAGACACAAUCAACUUUAUUCUACAAGGUAGACACUUGUUAUAUGCCAAUAACUAUGCCAAGAAUGUAUAUGCAUUAUAUUAGUUAAUGAGAGUUUCUCAACUUUAACACUGUUGACACUUUGGGCUGGAUAAUUCUUUGUUGUGGGGAGCUGUCCUGUGCAUUGUAGGAGUUUAACAGAACCCUUGGCCUCUAUCCACCAGACACCAGCAGCGCCACCCCCCUUCCCCAAUUGCAACAACCAAAAAUGUUUGCAGACAUUGUCAAAUGUCCCCUGGGGACAAAAUCAUACUCAGUUGGGAACCACUAAGUGAAUCCUAAUAUAGACCAGUGACAUAGGUACAAUGAUCAUUUCCACUUUACAGUAAACUGAGGCAUAACAAGGUUAAACCAUAUGUCCAAGGUCACAUAGCUAGGAGGAGCUGGAAGCAGGGCCAAUCUGUUUCCACAGCCCUUAAGCUUACUGUCCUCCCUGUUUUGCCUAUCUCUGCAUGCAUGGAGCUAAGGACUCUGUAAUACUCAAUAAACCCAUGCAAAGAUGAACCAUUUCUAAUGGCAAACCCUGCUGUUUAUAUUGCAUUUACUAUCUUACCUUCCAUAAACCACACAACAACUCUUCAGUGUAGCUCCUGCUCCCAUUUUAUAAAGGAGCACACUGAGACCUGGAUUGACAGAAAGGGAUUGCCCCAAGUCACAGAGCAGAGCAGCUACCAGAGGCUGGCUUUGGGCCCACGUCUUGUAAUUCUACACUCUCCAGUACUCAGAGAGUUGAGUAAACACCGAUUAAACUAUAGGAGGCUGGCAGGCAACUUAAUAAAAAAAUAAAUGCAAAUCCAGCAUGAUGGAUAUAUUUAGCAGAUAAAUUAUUAUGUGAUGGUAUAAAAAUAGAUCAAGGGAGAGCACAUGAAAUUGCAAGCCUGACUGUGUGAGAGACAGGGAAGGCGCAUGGAGAGCGUCGGGUACAUUUAAUUAACUUUGCUGGGAAAACAUUCACAGGCUGCCACCUGAAACCAAAACAUUCAUGGGCUCCACUUAAAGUCACAAUACAUGUAGUCCUAUUGGGAAGAGUUAUAAUCCAAUAGAGCUUGAAGUCAUUGAUUAAAACAAUGUCAGUGCUCAAAUGCUUUGAUGGGUAAACCCAAUUCUCACCCGUAUAUAAGAUAACCAGGCAUGCAUUUGUGGUCUGUGUGACCCAUAAGCUCACUGACAUUAAAAUGUCCCACUCAGCUUUCUGUACAGAUGGAUUUCCAUGGAGAGAAGGAAAUCAACAUGUAUUGAGAGUCAACAUCUCAUUCAGUCCUGUGAGAUUAUUCUGCCUAUUUUAGGCAAAGAGACUAAGGCUUCAAGAGGGCAAGUGAAUUGCCCAUAGUGCCACUGCUGGUGCAGGAAUGAGCUUCCGGAAAGAGUCAAGUUCAUUGAGUCAUGCCACCACCCAGGUGCCUUGUGAGGCCACUGAGUGUUGUGGGUAAGGGUUUGGGUGCUGCCAUCCAGAUGACUGAGUUUAAAUCCUGGGCCCACCCACACCAGCUAUGUUACUUGGAGCAUGCUAUUGCACUUGCCUAAACUUCAGUUUGCUCAUCUGUAAAAUGGGAGCGAUAACAGUGCCCACCUCAUAGGAAUGAUGGGAGAAUGUAAUGAGCUAAAGUAUGUAAACCAUUGAUAAAUAUCUAAUAAAAGCUUGCAAUGAUAAGAUGCCAUUAUUAAUUACUAUAAUACUAAUGUCUAAAGGAGCCCCAGGUGGCAUGGAGCUAUACCCUGUGGACUUGUGAUCUCUCUCUGUUCCAUGCCAAAUGGAAAGCAUACAGUCAUGAAUCAGGGUUUGAGUGUGAGAGCAGACAAAGAGUGAGAUUUAAAUAUUCAUUAGUCAGGGUUCAUCUAGGUCCCUGGGGACAGGAGAGGAUCCUCAUGAUUAAUUUCAGGGGCCUUUUCCCUGAGAUGGGGGGGGACACUCUGCUAUGGUCAUGUACACUUUAUUAAGCACUGCUUGAAAUCCUCCCUACCACAAAAGUGCUGUGAUUUCAAGGUUUCCCUCUUUUAUGGGAAAACCAUAGCACAAGAAUCUACACUGUAAACCCUAUGCCUACUUAAGCCCAGAAGGAGCCUGUUACCUCAUAGAAGAAUCUUAUUUUGCCUUCAAAAGAAGCAGUUAUCAAGUGCUCGCUGGGCUUCAGCUGUUUUCACAUCCAUUUUAUUUUGAAAGCAACUGCCCUGCAGAUCUUGUGACCCUUGACUGAUAGGCGAGGCACCCGAGAACGUGGGAACGAAUGCAUGUGCUCGUGGUUUUCAUAGAAUUUGGGGCAUUGGAAAAUGGAAGGUAGGUGCUUCUGGGUCUCAGAAAUUUGCACGUCAGAACCCCUCCUAAGGGGCAUCAUAUGUGUCUCUGAGUCUUGUAUACAGAGAUAUCCAAGCAGGAGUGGAAGAAUGCUUUUUAAAAAGUAACAAAGUCAGGCCUAGUAGAUUGAGUCUGAAUGACUCAUUAUAACAUAACAUUUUCUCCUGUCUCUCAAAACAGGAGAAUUAGCUCACUAACUAUUAUAUAAGCUCUUUGAGGACAGAGAACAAGUCUAAUUGAGCAUUACAUCCUCAAAGACUGGCAGAAAUCUCAAAACAUCAGAGAUGCUCAAAACUAUGGAAAGAAAAAAAAUGUCCUCAAAGAAAACUUCAGCGCAUAUUCUUCUUUUUAUUCAAGUAUCCACUGAUUUACCUUCAUGGGCCAGGCUCUUGGGUACAAUGUGCAUGAGGCAGUUCAAGUCCCCACCAUCCUGGGACUUGGUCUAACUAGUGCUUCUGCACAAAUGAGCUUCCAACAGUUGCGUAUUCUCUGAUAUUGCAGGAUUAACCAUAGGCCCUUAAAGAAGAAAAGAAAAAAAAUGAAAAAGAGUACUUAACAAUUGCAUUCUUUGUGUUUCUUGACAGAAUGGACUAGAAACUACUAGCAAUUAUGUCGAAGCCAUUAGUGCAAAGCCAAUUUGCUUCUAGAGUUACAGUUGCACUCCAGGAACUUGAGCUACACUCCAGAGAGAUCAUUAGUUGCUGCAGACAUGUUACUGAGGGCAGAGGUGUCAUUUCCAGUCUGGAAUGUCCUCAGUCAAGUGUGGGAGCAGAAAAUGGGGGUCAAAAUAAUUAACCUCACGUGAUUUUAGCAGGACUUCUUGCAAAAUCGCCCAUAUACACUUAACAUUUCUUUCAGUUGAAUAAUCUCAAUGUAUCAGUUUUAUCAAAAUAUUUCUCUUUUUCUCUUUUAUUUUCCCACCUGGCUGAGCUUUUUUUUAAUUUUUUUUAUUUUUUUUUCUGGCUUUCAAUACAAACACCUUUAACUUACUUUCUUUGAUUCCCUUCUCCCUUCCCAUUCCCAAUAAUAGAUGAUUGUAACUAAUGGAACUCACAAGUAUUGCUGGUUGAUGCCUUUGCUAGGAUUUUCAGUACCAUAAUCCUCUCACCAGAUCAUAAGUCUCAGGAGAAAACACCUAAUUUUUCCCUUUGUAAAACUUUCCUUGACUUCGUUUCAAUUAAAUCACUUUCACCGACCCCAGGCCUCCAUUAACUAUAUCCAUCGAAAUCAUCUGUUUCACCACUCCGUGCCCGAGGCUGAGGCAGACACCCCGGCAGCAUCCCAACUGACCGAGGAGAUGACAGAGUGGGGCUGGCAGGGGUUCAGGAAUCAACUCUGGGUUCCAAUACUGUUUCCACCAGUCACUACUGGAGAUGGGUCCUUCAACAGCUCGUCGGGAGAAUGAGGAUAACAACAUUUAUCAGCUUGUAAGAAAUAAAAUGGAUAAGUAUGUGAAGUUUCUAUCAGAGUGUGGAUUUUGAUGAGCCUUAAUUCCAUCCUCUUCAUUCAACAAACAUGUCCUGAAAUCCACCUAUAUGCAAAGUGUUGCACACGACAUAAGUUUGCCAGCUGGGUGCAUUGGCUUACCUCUGUAAUCCAGCACUUCAGGAGGCUGAGGCAGGAGGAUCGCCUGAGCCCAGGAGUUUGACCAGCCUGGGCAACAUGGUGAGAUCCUGUCUCUACAAAAAAUUUUAAAACUUAGCCAAGCACGGUGGCAUGUGCCUAUGGUCUCAGCUCCUCAGGAGGCUGAGGAAGGAGGAUUGCUUGAGCCCAGGAGUUUGAGGCUGCAGUGAAUUGUGAUCACGCUGCUACACUCCAGCCUGGGUGACAGAGCAAGACCCUGUCUCAAUAAAUAAAUAAAUAAAUAAAAUAUUUAAA